rnacentral:rRNA from 1 species
UACGGAGGGUGCAAGCGUUAAUCGGAAUUAUUGGGCGUAAAGGGCGCGUAGGCGGAUUUAUAAGUCUGAUGUGAAAUACCAUGGCUCAACCAUGGUGCUGCAAUAGAAACUAUGAGUCUAGAGGGUAGGCGGAGAAAACGGAAUUCCAAGUGUAGCGGUGAAAUGCGUAGAUAUUUGGAAGAACACCUGUGGCGAAAGCGGUUUUCUAGCUUAUUCCUGACGCUGAGGCGCGAGAGCAAGGGGAGCAAACAGG